rnacentral:ribozyme from 12 species
ACAAAUAAAAAAAAUGAGGGGUUCAAAUCUGGUUCUUCCUCUUUUUUUGUUUCUUCUCUUCUUUUCUUCUUCUUUCUCCUCCUCACCAAGAUUUGAAAUAGAUAAUGUGAGUUGAAAAAGUCCGACA